AUUCUAGAGCUGAAAAUAUUCCAAUUGACUCUGCCGUAUAAAUGGAAGCAUUAUUAGGGAGUCUACACCCAUGACCCGUUUUGGCUUCUAAAUCAUAAAUAGCCAUUGAGACAGCUGACGUUGACGUAUUCUUUGAACCGUCUGUAUAAAUUUGCUUGUAACCUCUGUAUGAUUCUAAUUUGUUGUAAACAUCCUCUUUAAAUUCAAGAGAUUUAUCUAUAACAAUUUUAAUAGGAUAAAAUUUGCUUUCGUAAGAACCUGAAUAGCAUGGCAGGAUUACACUUUCAUAAAGAUUAUUUUGAAGUUUGAAUUCGACAGCUUCUUUAAGACAUUCUGUUAAGUUUGAAGAAGAAUUUACUAACUUAGGCAUUAAGGGGUGACCUGUUGAAGAACAAAUUUUGAGCAGAAAUUUAUAGUUAAGAUAACGGAAUCUUAUGGCUAAAGGAGGAAGUCCCAAGCUGAUUAGAGUGGCAGAAAGAACAUGCAAGUUAACAUUAUUAAAAGCACCAACUACAUCAAAGAAGACACAAGCCAGAAUUUUAUUGUUUGAUAAGGCCUCCUGAAUGUCCAAAUUCAAGUGACACAGACUUUCUCGAGCUGAUCGACCACGGCGAAAUCCAAAUUGAUUAUAAGGCAAUAAAUGGUUACUCUCUACAUAAAAUUCAA